AUGAAGCAGAGUCUUCUGCUGGAGUGUGAGCGAGUCUGGAGCAUCAGAUGUUUUCACGAGCGUCUGAACCACAGCUUGUUCUCAGAUAGAGUCAGAACACAGCGAGCGGCUCACAGAGAUACAGCGUUCAUCAAGUGUAUUCAGUAGACAAACUCAACUGUGAAGAUCCGUUUCUUUUAAAGACUGUUGUUUCUCUUCCUUGUCCUUCUCUUGACUCUCUCCU
rnacentral:lncRNA from 1 species